rnacentral:rRNA from 1 species
CACGUAGGCGGACAUUUAAGUCAGGGGUGAAAUCCCGGGGCUCAACCCCGGAACUGCCUUUGAUACUGGGUGUCUCGAGUCCGGAAGAGGUGAGUGGAAUUCCGAGUGUAGAGGUGAAAUUCGUAGAUAUUCGGAGGAACACCAGUGGCGAAGGCGGCUCACUGGUCCGGUACUGACGCUGAGGUGCGAAAGCGUGGGGAGCAAACA